AUUUCCUCAGGGAGUGCCUUAAGCACCAGCACACGGAAGGCACUGCUCUGCUUCCUGACUGAAGCUGCAUCUAAGAGCCGAAAAUAAGAUUAAGCUGAAGAACUUAUGGAAGAGAGAGGAUGACUCUGUAGUAUUUAGAAGAUAAGACUCUUUGGGGUGAAGAAUGAAUCCAGCCUGGGUCUGAGUGCUCUUAGCUAUGGAGGCCAAUGGAGCUUUGCGCAUGCUUGAUCACUAGUUUCUGGAAGAGGACUGGAGGGAUGAAUAGGCCAUACUGCCAGCAGUGCAUGACGUUGCUGAUAAGAUACCCAAACUGGCACUGGGACAACUCACAGGAUUUACAGCUGCCUCAAUAUAUGUUUCCUGAAAUACUGUAUUUUUAAAUGCAACUAGAAGGCUAAAGAAGUUGUUUUUUGAAGUCUCUGUGAUUAAUGUGGACAGUGGCAUAUAGACUUUUGGUUUUUUUUUGGUCAAACACAGAAUGUUUGUGAUUAAUAUAGAAAGAAGGGAAGAAGGAAAAGAAGAUGAAAGGAAGGGAAAUGGCAUGGUAAAAUGGCUGGAGCACAAAUUAAGCUUUUGGACGUAUGAAGAAGAUCCAUCAUGAUAAGGCACUCAUCUCUUUAUAUGAGUUGCAGAUGUUUUUCCAAUACAAAUGAUGGCAGUCAUAAUGAAACAAGAAUAAAGGUAGCCAAGCUAUUUCCUCCUUAAUCAUUUGUAAAGUGUCACAUAACUAUUUACACAGGUCUCUGCAAAAAAUGCAGAUAAAAGGAACGCACUGAAAAGGCAACACUUUCAUGGCAUUAACUUUCUUUGAAAACAGGGCAUACUUUACAAAACAGCAAACUGAGCAACAGAGAAAUCUACAAAUUGUAACAGACGCUUGCAAAAGAAAUGAAUAUUUAUCUCAACGUACAUCUGCGAUUAUAAAGGUUAUGAGAAAGCUGGAAAAUAAACCACAGCCCUGGAAGACCUGGUUCUGCACAUCUACUCUCCUAUGAGCUGAGGGCAGUUGACAAACAACUUCUCAUACAAAACUCAGCAAGCACUGAAAAUUGAAAAAAUUACUCUCAUGCUCUUUGAGUAUCAAGCAGUUUCCCAGAAAGCUUUUGUACUGGACAGAAAAGAAAGAUAGUAACCUUUACAGCAAAUUAUAGUGCUGUGAAAACACAGUACUGUGUGAAAACAUAUUAUAUUUCAGAUUGCGUCAUAAGGUGGUUUGAUUAAUUAGACAAUAUUAGUUUCUGUUGACAUCAAGUAUUCUUACUUUACCAAAUCAAAUUAUAAAGAGUUUCGCAACAAGAACAAAAUGUUUUUCACC
rnacentral:lncRNA from 7 species